AAUUUUAAACUUCAGACAAGCCCCUCCCACGAGAAGGAAAACGAUUAUCAAUGAUGCCCAGCCAGACUCUGUCUUUGAAGCGAAGCAAAAUAGCAGAGGAUGGUAUUACCAGGCUAGGCAAAGUGCAUUCGGCACAGAAAUACUCUGUAACACGUCCAACUGCUGUUUUGACACUUUGCCUACGUUUAGCAUGAGGAAACAACUCUAUAACUGUGUUAAUAAGUCAGAAUGCUUGAAAUACCAUUGAACCCCCCCUUUAAGGCAGCACAAACAUGCAUUUAAGUCUUGAAGUACACCUAAACCCUGUCCGGAAUACUGACCCAUAAUGUACAAAAUUCCACACUCUGAUGGAAACCAAUUUAGGCUGGUAGGGUACUAUGACCAGUUUUCCUAUUAAGUUUAAACUUUAUAAACUAUGUCUAAAUUAUUUAUAAGUCAUUACAUGGUUCAUUUUCAAUCAACAACAGGUUCACCAAUAUCAAUGUUGGAUGCAGUGUUCACAAUGGCAGAGUUCUCCGCAAUUCUUCAAUAUUUGACCUGGCAGAGAGAGGUGUUCUUUUUCCUGAGCAUACUCGCAACAUUGCAGGCAUUGAUGUGCCCAUCACAGUCCUGGGUGAUGCGGCAUAUCCUCUCAUGUCUUGGCUUAUGAAACCGUACUCUGACCAUGGACAGUUGAUGGGAGACCAGCAGCAUUUCAACUACCAUCUUAGCAGAGCACGCAUGACGGUAGAGUGUGCACUUGGUAGGCUAAAGGGCCGGUGGAGGUGUCUCUUUAAACAGUCUGAACUUGAAUUGAAAAGAGUGCCAGUGGUUGUCACAGCAUGCUGCAUUCUGCAUAAUUUGUGUGAGCAGAAUGGAGAAAACGUUGACAACGAGUGGCUACAAGGCGAGAGUGAAUCUGGAACUCUGGAAGUAACCUAGGAGAUGGCACCUGCUCUCCAGCAACAGCAACAAACAACCACAUGCCCAUAACAUUCGCAUGGCUUUGACCAAGUUUUUUUCAAAACAGGGAUGGCAACAAAAGUAGCAAUUACCUAAUUUUCAUUUGCUGAAUUUCCUUUUGCUACAGAAGAUUUUCUUAGCAGCAUUGUUUAGUAGUCAGUAUCAAUAACUUCUGAUGAUGUGUAUUUGUUGUGAACUUCUAGUUACAUGUGUUUGUCAGUAAUAACCCGGAGAGGAUGGAUAUUCCAAACUUUGUUUUAUUUUAACAAAAAAUAUUCAGAAGUGCCUGGCUGGAUAAAGUUCAGCUCAUUAAAUGCAUAUGCAGUAAAGGGUUUGGGUCAUCAAUAAAAGUGCAACAACAAAAUAGGAAUACUUGUUGUGUUAACAAAGAAACAAGUCUUACAGCACCAUAUGCAAUAAAGAACUAAAGAUUAUAGACAUUCAAAA